GGUGCUGUGGCUCAAUGGUAGAGUGCUUGCCUUGAACUGAAGAGGGCAAGGACAGCACCC
rnacentral:tRNA from 1 species